UACGUAGGGGUCGAGCGUUGUCCGGAGUUACUGGGCGUAAAGCGUGUGCAGGCGGCUCAUUGCGCCCGGCGUGAAAGCCCCCGACUCAACCGGGGAGAGUCGUCGGGGACGGGUGAGCUUGAGGGUAUCAGGGGCUGGUGGAAUUCCCGGUGUAGUGGUGAAAUGCGUAGAUAUCAGGAGGAACACCUGUGGCGAAAGCGGCUCACUGGACCAUAACUGACGCUGAUGCACGAAAGCUAGGGGGAGCAAACAGG
rnacentral:rRNA from 1 species